ensembl:lncRNA
UGUGUGUGUGUGUGUGUGUGUGUGUGUGUGUGUGUGCGUUCACACAGGAUUAUAACUUCCAGCUGUACACGCUGCAGCUCCAGAUGACCCGGAGCCAGAGAGAUAGAACAUCUAAUGUCCUCAAUCGAUCAAUACGAUCAAUACGCUCAGUGUCCAUUGGGACAAGACGUCUUCCUCCACAAACUCAGACUGGAACCGGGACCAGUAUCCUGCCUGAGAUCAACUACAGCCGGCAGGUCCUGCUCGUCGCCUGGCUCCGUGCCGUCUCACCCGUCUCACCUGUCCCACCUGCUGAGACGUGAGCAGGAGGAGGCCAAAGGUGAAGAUGCCUCCGAUCGUAGACGCUGCAGGACCUCCACAUAUCUGCAAUCAAAACAAGAUGUGCACGUGUUCUUGAGGACAAUGAUGCUCUACUGGCUGCUGCAACACAAGUUCAAGUUCCGUUGGCUGCGUGACCCGGAGAGGAAGGACCUGGUAAAAGCAAGUCGAGUAGCAGAAUGCAGAAAACAUGUCCCAGAGCAGGAGGAGCACCCAGGGGAAACGGCAGCAUCAUGCCGGCCAUCUACCAAAGAGGACGACGCCUACGUCUCUGCUGAAAAUCAACCAGGAGCCACAAGGACGGACGCUGUGAAUCAGUUUCCAUUAAUAAAGAAAGUAUCACUUAAAUAUGAUGCAACCUCUGAUUCUCUCUCCAAAGAGGAAUCGGCUCUCAGAUCUAAUGUUGGAGAAGCUUCUCCUCUUGAGGUCAAUUACUGGUUUGAGAGCGAACAAUGUUCUCCUGGUCAGAGGUGAGACUUGUCAGCUCAUUUUAACGCUUGUUGAGAAUCUCAUCUAUUUUUAACUUUCUUUCUAUUUAACUUUUCCUUGCGAGGAAAGUUUGUUAAACCUGUUUGUUUUG